GGGAGAGACUUGGAGGAUUAGGCAGGAGAAACCAGGGAGAAGAGAAACUACUAAAGUCCAGAAAGCAUCCCGAGAGAUCAGGAAGAUGGGGGGUUAAGUGCACCUUAAACUAGGAAACUCAGCAAUUUUGCUGUGCAGUCUCCUGACAAACCUUCAAUUUGUUCUGUCUUUUCUGCUGAAAUAAGAAGGAUAAGGAUUUAUAAAAUGCUAUUUUAGGCAGGUCUAAGGGUGUUAUAUCAAUCCAUAGAAGGAAUAGCCUCUAAGUCAGCAAACGGCAUAUGUAUUUUUAAAGGGUAGAAAGCAAAUGUUUGCUCACCAGUUCCCUUGUGUAUUAAAAAAAAAAAGAAAAGAAAAACGCCCAGGAGGAAAAAAAUUAACUUGAAGGUAUUUCCCGAGGCUAAAACUGGCUAAGGCGCCAGCCAAUUUGCUGCAGGAGAUUGUCAAAAGUCUGAACUGGUUAGGGUGAAAUCCGCUUCAGCCACAGGUACCUCCGCAGAGGUCACAAUUUCGGGUUAAACUUUUAAUGAAAUCCAGCCUAGAAGAGUAAGGGGUGAAAUGAACACAGAGAACGAACAGAAACUUCCACAACUUUCUUUGCUGUGGAAGAUGGUUUUUAACGGCUUGUAGCAAGGAUUUCUUCAGGCCCCAGGCCUGCCCUCUCCCAGCUCCCAUGAUAACAGACUCAAUUUAAUUUCCUGAAGCUCCUCCUCUUAACCUGGUGCAAUUUAAUUUGCUGCAGCCUCUCCUUUCGAUUUGGUGCAAGGCACAGCGCAGGACCUUCAGGGGACAGAGGUCAGACUCUUCCAGCAGAAAUGUCUGCAGAGAACUGAGAAGCGAAUGAAUCAGAAGUGAACCCACUCUGGUGGGAAGGGGCUGGGCCCAUGUGUUGCUGCCUCCCUGUCCCCUCAGCUGCCAGGGGCUCCAAGGAACUUCCAGGUCCCCGAGGCACAGAGUCUGCAAACCACAGGGGAAGUUCUGGAUCAGCUGGUUCAAGGUGCCUGGAAAAGCUACUUCAGUCCAGCUGAGCCCAGCUGUGGACCUGGUGAUGGCCUCCAGGAAGUUGGCACUUCAGCUCACUCACAACUUGGUUUUGUGGUACAGAUACCCUCUUUCAGGAAAGUAUUAUGGAGGACAGAGGAGUCUUAGCUCAGGAAGGCUUCUGAGAAACCAGAACAACUUUAAGAGAAACAUUUGCCAUGUGUCUUUGCUAUAUAUAACUCCACGUUGAACACAGUGCUGUUGGCUCCCUUCUUCCCAGUAACCAGCAGCCUGUAAACUGAUCUGACGCAAUCCCUCUGUCUUUUCUGAGGGAUUGCUUCCUCCAGGACCUGGCUGCCUGAAGCUUUGCCCCACCUGCUCUUGUUUGUGUCAUCCCAGAGUCUGGAAGUGGUCUGUCAACUUUUCCCUUAUCAGGUCUCCCCUAUCCUGUGUCCUUUGAGAUCAAGCCCAGAUUGCAUCUAGGCAGAGUAAAUCCUAUAGCAAAUACAGCAAAAGCUCUAGCAAAUUCUAUAGUGUUUGGGGGCUGUGACUGUUCUCUGAAUCAAAAUAUUUAGGGCCCCAGGACCUACACAGUCAAUGAUGAUUGGUGUUUCUGAUACCCACUGCCCUUCAUGGCUAUCUUAACUGAAUUUCUAGAGACAGCCUACCUUAGUUGACGUUCCAUGGCGAGAAUUUCUUACUUUGUGGUAUGGAGGGAGGGGAGAAAUAUUAUGGGAGUAGAAGGCCUCCAAGGCCUUGUAGGCUUUAGGUUGUCCUUUGUGAGGAGACUCUUACUGUCAAUGGGUUUGAUGGGCAUUGUUUGUUAGUAUGGACAGAGUCACACUCAGGUGUGCUCUUUGUCUCCAAUGUUCAGGUAUGAUAUGCCUUAUUGCUAUUGUCCUUUUCUUCCCCACAUAUAAAGAAUUACAACAAAACAGUAGACCUAUAACCUAGAACCUCAACUGACCAAACUCUCUUAUUAUAAGUGAAGACAGGAACAUUUGCUAUGUGAGAAAUUUUUUUUCCCCUCCCUCUCUAGGUACACAGACCUGAUGUCAUUGCUGGGGAGCACUGAUCUGGAGGUGGACUCAGGUGACUCAUGAAGAGGAAGCAUCACCUUUCUCAAGAGGCAUGAAAUAGUCCCCAACAGUAGACUUUCAGGACACUUACUAGGCCUUUUUUGAAUACACUGUGUCAUAGAAUGGGUAUGACCAUGAAGGAGCGAGGACUGUGAUGAAGUGGAAGGCUGAGGUGUCGACCCUCCAUCCCCACUGUGGCCUCCCAGCCUGAGGAAAUCUGAGAAGAGAGGAUUCAACACCAAGUUCAGCUUCUUAAUUAUUACAGGGGACUGGGCAUUAUCAUGACCAAAGUGAGAAUGGCCCUGUGGCUUAAAGUGACUUUAAGGAGUUGGCAGAAAAGCCACAAUACUCGUCAAGGUUUUUAUCCAGGGGCAGAAAGAUGUAACCCACUGAAAAACCAUUAAGAGACAAUGGGGUUAAUAGAUGCAAACUACUGCAUUUGGAAUGGAUAAGCAAUGAGAUCCUGCUUCAUAGCACUAGGAACUAUAUCUAGUCACUUGUGAUAGAGCAUGAUGGAGGAUCAUGUGAGAAAAAGAAUGUAUAUACAUGUGUGGGUAUGACUGGGUCACUUUGCUGUACGGUAGAAAAUUGACAGGACACUGUAAACCGACUAUAAUGAAAAAAAAUCAUUUUUUAAAAAAGAGACAAUGGGAACCUUUCUACGCUAUUGGUGGGAAUGUAAAUUGGUGCAGCCAUUGUGGAGGACAGUAUAGAGGUUCCUUAAAAAAAAUAAAUAUAGAGCUG